rnacentral:rRNA from 1 species
AUGGGCUCUAGCCGUCGUUCGACCACCACCUUGGUCCUCGCGUCGUUGCUAUGCCUCUACCUCGCGCCGCGCGGGGCCUUCUCGCUCUCCUUCAGCCUCGACUACUCCGACGCCGGCGCCGGUUCGUCGAUCGUCGUGGCUGGCGACGCACUCGUCAGUCCACCGGCGCUCCAGCUGAUGAAAAACAGCCGGGCGUCGUACCGGUACAAAGUGCCGCUGUGGAACGGUGCCGCCGGCGAGGUGGCUAGCUUCGCCACCGCCUUCUCUUUCCGGAUCACCCCAGACAAGGACAAGGACAGCCCGCCGCAGCAGCCAGGCGGUAGGAUGGCCUUCUUCCUCGGCCACCACCCUUCCGUGGACGUCCCGCGCAGCAGCGCCGGCGGAGGCCCGGCCAUCGUGACGGUAGGGUUUGACGCCUUCCUCAACCAUGUCGGCAUCGACAUCAGCUCCGUCAACUCCACGGCGCCCGCGCACACGACGGCGACAUGGCCCGGCAAGAACCUCACGACGUCCAGUGUCAUGGAGGCCACCGUGAAAUACCACAACGACUCCAGGACGCUGGCUGUUGCUCUCCUCAUCGAUGGUGCCCUGUACCAGGCCAAUGCAACCGUUGAUCUCAGCAGAAUUCUACCGGAGGAGGUCGCGGUUGGCUUCUCCGCCGCCGCCUUUGCCGGGAUGCACCAGAUACGGUCGUGGUCGUUCGGUUCCACUCUGCCGGAGUCCAAGCAGGAGGCAUCUCCUCAGCCUGCUGAACCUCCUCAUCUCCCAAUCAGCAGCUACAACCACAAGAAGAUAGCAUUAGUCCUAUUAUUCCUAGGAACGAUCACGGCGAGGUGUGUCCGAAUAGGAUUUCAGUUUCGAUUCAAGACAUCACCGAAUCGUGUUACCUUGGCUGUCCUAGCCUAG